AGGUCAUGUGACUCCCGCGGGUCGAGAGCCGCCAAUCGCUGCGCGCCACGAUUGGCCGGCGGGUCGGCCGUCCGGGCCGCGCGGCGGUGACCCCGCCAUUCGUGCACUGGUUCUGUGUGGUUCGUGACGUGUGCGUCUGCGUGAACGGACGCGAGCUAAUGGCGAGCUAAUGGCGAGCUAGUUUGUGGAGCUAAUUAUGGAGCUAGUCUGUGGAGCUCAUAGCGAGUUGAUAGCGGAGCUCAAGCUGAUGCCUCUGAUAUUUGGGAUUUGAUAUUUGAACUCCGCAUCACAAUAUAACUUACGAAAGCAUAAGCACCGUGUUGUCGAUGGGAGGCAGCAGUCGUGACGCAGAGCUCGGCACCCCGGCCCUACAUCUGGUGGCAGCGGUGUGCGUUCUUCGCACCCACGUGGCCGAGUCUGAGCUGCGUCUUGCUGCCCUCCACUCGGGUGCUCGCUUGUUGGCACGUGGUACGUGGAUCAUGGAGCAUCGCUUCCUGUUCGGCUGCCUGCAUCCGGCUGUGGCGUGCACGGGCGCUGCUUGCGGGCCCCGCUGAGCGGCUCGCUAUUCGGGCCUGUGUCGAGGCUCCGGUGCGGCACAGCUGACUGCGCCUGGCGCGCGGGCGGCCUCCCCGCUGGGACCCGCGGCGAGGCUCCGGACUGGACCCAGCUGCCUCGGCCGGGCGGGCGACCGGGCGUCUGGGCCCCGAGGGCCGGUCGGUGACUCGGUGCUGUGAUUGGCGGACGGUCGGACGGGCGGACGGCCGGCCGUGCGGACGGUUGGUGGGCGCGGCGAGCGCCUGGCGGUACCGCGUGGGGAGUGGCUCUGCGCGGCGGACCAGCUGACCAGCUGACGCGGCUGGCGGGCUGCCAACUGUCUCCGUGACCUGACGCGUGCGUACGUGGCGCACGGGUGGAGCGAGAGUUAUGGACUUCAUGGGGUGAGUGUUGAACUGUGUUACCUUGUAUUAUUGUUACUGUAUAUUGUACUUUACUUUGUGCGUUCGUUACUUAAUUCGUUGUGGGGUCCUCAUACAUUUGUGACUUUAACUGACUUCUGUGCAACGUUCGUUGUUUAGUUAGAUGAUUGUGAAAAAUUCGGGUUAUUUUUUUCUAUCGAUUUUCGAGAUUAGGCGCCUGGAGCUAGGAUUUCACUGUGCCUCUGGGACAGAAAUUACCUGCCUGAGUAUUUGGUCUCUGAUCUCUCGAAUCCCUUGCUAAUUUACCUGCAAUCGUUCCGUUCACGUUAUUACCAUUUAACAUGGCUCAUCAGACUUUGGUUACACUGGGAUUACCGUCAUUUGGGGGUAACACUGGUUCAGUUUCUAGGUUUAUUUCUGACUUUACGACGUACGCGGCUUUUCAAAACUGGGAUAACGCUAAGCAGGCUAGCCUACUCCCUUUGUGCCUUACCGGUAU